rnacentral:rRNA from 1 species
GACGAACGCUGGCGGCGUGCUUAAUACAUGCAAGUCGAACGGAAAGGCCCUGCUUUUGUUGCUUGGUCGAGUGGCGAACGGGGGAGUAACACGUGAGUAACAUGCCCUUGACUUUGGGGUAACUUCAGGAAACUGGGGCGAAUACCGGAUAGGAUCUCCUGCUGCAUGGUGGUGGUUGGAAAGUUUCGGCGGUUGGGGAUGGACUCGCGGCUUAUCAGCUUGUUGGUGGGGUAGUGGCGUACCAAGGCUUUGACGGGUAGCCGGCCUGAGAGGGUGACCGGCCACAUUGGGACUGAGAUACGCACCAGACUCCUACGGGAGGCAGCAGUGGGGAAUAUUGCACAAUGGGCGGAAGCCUGAUGCAGCAACGCCGGGUGCGGGAUAACGGCCUUCGGGUUGUGAACCGCUUUCGCCUGUGCCGAAGAGUGAGUGACGGUAAUGGGUAAAGAAGCCCCGGCUAACUACGUG